GGCUCAGAACGAACGCUGGCGGCGUGCUUAACACAUGCAAGUCGAACGCGAAAGGGGGCAACCCCGAGUAGAGUGGCGCACGGGUGAGUAACACGUGAGUAAUCUGCCCUUGAGCGGGGGACAACGUUCCGAAAGGAGCGCUAAUACCGCAUAACCCGGUAGGGACCCAGGUCCCGGCCGGCAAAGAUGGCCUCUGCUUGCAAGCUAUCGCUUAAGGAGGAACUUGCGCCCCAUUAGGUAGUUGGUGAGGUAACGGCUCACCAAGCCUGCGAUGGGUAGCCGGCCUGAGAGGGUAACCGGCCACACUGGCACUGAGACACGGGCCAGACUCCUACGGGAGGCAGCAGUGAGGAAUUUUGGGCAAUGGGCGAAAGCCUGACCCAGCGACGCCGCGUGGGUGAUGAAGGCCUUCGGGUCGUAAAACCCUGUGAGAUGGGAAGAAGCCGUUUCGUGCUAAUACCACGGCGCGGUGACAGUACCAUCAGAGGAAGCCCCGGCUAACUACGUGCCAGCAGCCGCGGUAAAACGUAGGGGGCUAGCGUUGUUCGGAAUUACUGGGCGUAAAGCGCGUGUAGGCGGCUUGGUAAGUCGGAAGUGAAAGCCCCAGGCUCAACUUGGGAAUUGCUUUCGAAACUGCCUAGCUUGAGUGCGGGAGGGGAGAGCGGAAUUCCAGGUGUAGCGGUGAAAUGCGUAGAUAUCUGGAGGAACACCGGUGGCGAAGGCGGCUCUCUGGACCGUAACUGACGCUGAGACGCGAAAGCGUGGGGAGCAAACAGGAUUAGAUACCCUGGUAGUCCACGCCCUAAACGAUGGAUACUUGGCGUGGGAAGUUCAAAUCUUUCCGUGCCGGAGCUAACGCAUUAAGUAUCCCGCCUGGGGAGUACGGUCGC
rnacentral:rRNA from 1 species